rnacentral:rRNA from 1 species
UAGGGAAUCUUUCGCAAUGGAUGCAAGUCUGACGGAGCAACGCCGCGUGAGUGAAGAAGGAUUUCGGUUCGUAAAACUCUGUUGUUAGAGAAGAACAGUGCAUAGAGUAACUGUUAUGCGUGUGACGGUAUCUAACCAGAAAGCCACGGCUAACUACGUGCCAGCAGCCGCGGUAAUACGUAGGUGGCAAGCGUUGUCCGGAUUUAUUGGGCGUAAAGCGAGCGCAGGCGGUCAAUUAAGUCUGAUGUGAAAGCCCCCGGCUCAACCGGGGAGGGUCAUUAGAAACUGGUUGACUUGAGUGCAGAAGAGGAGGGUUGAAUUCCAUGUGUAGCGGUGAAGUGCGUAGAUAUAUGGAGAAACACCAGUGACGAAGGCGACUCUCUGGACUGUAACUGACGCGGAGGCUCGAAAGCGUGGGUAGCAAACAGG